rnacentral:rRNA from 1 species
GACGAACGCUGGCGGCGUGCUUAACACAUGCAAGUCGAACGGUAAGGCCCUGCUUUUGUGGGGUGCUCGAGUGGCGAACGGGUGAGUAACACGUGAGUAACCUGCUCCUUACUUUGGGAUAACUUCAGGUAACUGCGGCUAAUACCGGAUCGUAGCUUCUGCUGCACGGUGGGGGUUGGAAUGUUUCGGCGUUUGGGGAUGGACUCUCGGCUUAUCAGCUUGUUGGUGGGGUGGUGGCUUACCACGUCUUUGACGGGUAGCCGGCGUGGGAGGGUGACCGGCCACCUUGGUACUGAGAGACGGCCCAGACUCCUACGGGAGGCAACAGUGGGGAAUAUGGCGCAGUGAGCGGAAGCCUAAUGAAGCAACGCCGGGUGCGGGAUGACGGCCUUCGGGUUGUAAACCGCUUUCGCCUGUGACGAAGCGUGAGUGACGGUAAUGGGUAAAGAAGCACCGGCUAACUACGUG